CUAAGGAGGAAGUAGAGAAUAGCUUUAGAGUAGGAAAUUAUUACUGUCUAAAGAUUCAUUGGUCUCAGGAUGCUGUGUAAUCACAACCAGUAUUUCUAGGCAAUUUUCAGGAUAAAGUUGACUGUGGAUACCUAUUCAAUUUUGCUGUUUUGGAGGGUUUUCUUUUUUAUGGAUAGCCAUUGUAACAAACAUUUUUAUAUACUUUAUUCUUUGCAUCAUAUGAGUGAGAAGGAGGUCAUUCUAGGCCAUUAAUAACUUUUGUGUACUAGAAUAUUCUUUUUUACAUGCUUCAUUUAAAUGGUGGCUUUAGAGUCCAUGUUAUGACCAAUACUAAUCUCUUUUGGACGACACUUAAAUUCUAAGUUGCAGCACCUAUACCCAAAAUCUAAGAAUUUCUUAAUUAUCUCUAUCAGUUUCAAAUGACUUGUUUUUUUAAUGCCCACAUACUGAUAAUAGAACACUAAAUAUUUAAACUGAGGAACAUUCAUACAAGAAGCUGUUGUUUUUUGUACAGCUCUACUAGCCUUAACAUCUAAAAUUCAGUAUUUGAUAGAAGACUUUUAAGAUCUUAAAAUUGUUACCUCUUAAAUAUUUUACAUACUUAUAAAAAUAUUUAUUAAUUAUAUUCUAUAUUCCACCAAAAUGCAAAUCUUAGGUUCUCUACAUUUCUCAGAAUCAGUCUUUCAUAUUGAUAAUUAAGAUGGAGAGAUUUUUCAAUGACAGGUUAUUGAAAAGAGGAAGAAAAGGAGCAGGAAAAGAGAAGAGAAAGUGAAAAUAGGGUAUCUGUUCUAAUGUUCUUUCUAAGUGAUACUCAGAAGUGAACACAGUACAAUUUCCUGAAUGCAAAUAUAAUAAUAAUUCAUAUGUAAUGUAAUUUGAUAUUACAGAUUUACAUCCAAUUUCAAACGCUGUGUGAAUUCAAUUAGAAUUAAUUUUAUCUUGUCUUACACAUAUUAUUGAAUACAUUUUUCAAAUAUAAUUUUGAUCCUGUUGAUUUGAGAUGAUUUGUGUUUCAUAAACAUUUGCAUCCAAGUAUGAUAUAUGACAGGGUGUCAAAUAUAUCACGUGAUACACGAGGUUUAGAUAAAAUAAGAUAUUCUCUAAUUAUAAAACAAAACAUGUAGAAUAUUGCAUACAAAGUCCUUACCUUAUUCGCUUACAGCUAAAGCAUUGAGGAAAAAAGCAUACACAGAAAUUCAAUCAAGAAAAUAACCAAAUAGACAUUUAAAACAAAGAAACCCUGCAAAAGAAAAUGUGCUCCAUAUGAUACACACGCGUACAGAUAAAUGUAUAUUUUAGUUAUGUGAUAUAUAGGGAUAUAAAUACAUGAUGGUAUUCUAAAGAACAGAAUUGGCAACAUUAAAUCACUAAGUAACUGUUUUCUCUCAUAAUGUCCCUUAAAGUCUGCUCUGUAGGGUGAUACUCCUCCCCCUAGAUAAAAUCUUGGUCAGUUCUCCAUAGUUAUAUUAAGUAAUAAAAUCUUCCUAGUACUUUAGUCAUUUAAACUAUUCCAGUUUUGAAACUGAUAGGUACAGCCAGAGCAGAACAAAAACUCCAACUUUCAUUCAAAAUUAAGGCUUCUGCACUUGCCUAAUCUGCCAUGCUACAGAAGGCUGGCCUACGGUAUGAAAGUAGGGCCCAGACACUUUUCUAUUUUCCCAAUUUAUCAUUCUUCCCCUCCUCAGUUGUUAACUUACACAGUUUAUGAUGACACCAGGGUUCAAGACGGUGAAGGGAAGACAUGUAGGGGCACAAGAAAGCGCGUUUGUUCUGGUGCUUUGUGAGCUGCCGUUGUUGCUGCCUAGGUCUGGCAGGGGUCAAAGCUGAUACUUGUUCUUCUUUCCUUUGCAGAGUGUUUCAGUUCCUUCAGGGUUUUUCAGACCAUCCAUUCCUCUCCCCAUUUUGCUAAGGAUCCCUUCCUUGCCUGCACUUCACUGACCAUAAUAUGGGUCUCAGCAGUCUAUCUCUCCAUAGACUCUAUCUGUUGGGAUUCUACCCUCUUUUAGGGGCCCUUUGGGAAAAAGUCAAUUUAAGAUGACUCCACGCCAGCUUUCAAUCACAUUUGUGUGGUCCACGCCUUCUCUAUGUAUAUUUGGUCAUGUUCAAUUGUAAUUUACUCCUCAAAAUGAAGCCGUCUAUGCUGUUGUCACAAGUGCUAUUCUUCAGAUGUAGACAGAUGUGUUUUAAUUAAUAAAAUCAAAAUUAAAAGUAUCACUAAUUAAUAGUUUUUUAAUCCUGUAAUCAUGGAAACAAAACAUUAAAAACUAUCAUGUGUGGUGGACACAUUUAUUGAUGUUAAAAACAUUGGGGAUCAUCAAAAUAGGUGAAUAACUUCCUUUUACAGAUAAAAAGCAAAGAAUCAAUUUAGUAAAAGUUGUUACUGGCCACGGGCAGACCAAAGCCUUUUAUGAUGCACUCAAAAGAGGCUGGGGUCUGGAGUCAAACCUAAUGAGGUUUCAACCUUAUCUCUACUAUGUAUUAGUUAUAAGAAGUUGGUCAAGUUGAACAAAUUAUAUAAUCUCAGUUUCUUCUAUGAAAUGGGGAUAAUAAUAUCUAUGACAAUUUUGAUGAUCAAAUAAAAUGUAACACAUAUGGCAUCUGUUGUACAGAAACUUCUAAAUGAUUGCUAUUUGCAUUGUCCAAUACUGGUCAAAUUAUUUUUAUAAUAACUGUGGCCUCUUCCAAUAUUUGUUUUACUUCUGAAUUAAAAAUAACAUAUAUAUGAACAUAUACACAUACAUGCAUAAAUAUAUUUCUCAAGUUAUUAAAUUAUUACUAUGCAAUAGUUACCAAGUGUAUAUGUGAUGCAUUAUUAAAAUGAGAACCUUUGUUUUGUUAUGCUAUCAAAAACAGACUUUAAACUAUGCCUUGUUUUUUUUAGAUAAAGCAAAUAAACCAGUAAAAACAGGCUAGUACUUCUAUUGAAUUUAUAUAUUUGGGGUUAGCAAACUAAGUAGAGAAGCUCUGGCUUUUCAUGAAAUAGGGGCGAGAUGGACAAUUACAGAAAAGUCUGCCACAUCCAAGGUCUUGCUGGGAGAAAACUCUAAGAAUUCAGACACAUAGUCACAAAGC
rnacentral:lncRNA from 1 species